AUACGUAGGGAGCGAGCGUUGUCCGGAAUUACUGGGCGUAAAGAGGGAGCAGGCGGCAGCAAGGGUCUGUGGUGAAAGCCUGAAGCUUAACUUCAGUAAGCCAUAGAAACCAGGCAGCUAGAGUGCAGGAGAGGAUCGUGGAAUUCCAUGUGUAGCGGUGAAAUGCGUAGAUAUAUGGAGGAACACCAGUGGCGAAGGCGACGAUCUGGCCUGCAACUGACGCUCAGUCCCGAAAGCGUGGGGAGCAAAUAGGAUUAGAUACCCUAGUAGUCCACGCCGUAAACGAUGAGUACUAAGUGUUGGAUGUCAAAGUUCAGUGCUGCAGUUAACGCAAUAAGUACUCCGCCUGAGUAGUACGUUCGCAAGAAUGAAACUCAAAGGAAUUGACGGGG
rnacentral:rRNA from 1 species